AAAACUAGGAUUAGAUACCCUAUUAUUCAAUUUGUAAUUUUAGUUUACCUUAGUAGUAUUAGUUAUGCUCUUGAAAUUAAAAGAAUUUGGCGGUAACUUAGUCUAUCCAGAGGAACCUGCUCUUUAAUCGAUGAUCCACGAGGAAUUUUACUUUUUUUAAGCUUGUAUACCUCUGUUAUUGAAUGUAUUAUAAGGUUUAUUUUCUACUUUCUUUAUGAGAACUAUAUCAGGUCAAGGUGCAGCAAUAAAGAAGCUAGUGGUGGGUUACUUUAUUAUUAAUUUAGGAUUUUUUAAUGGAAAAUUUAUAAUGAAUAAGGAUUUGGUAGUAAUAAUUAAUAUUUAUUAAUUAUGAUUUAAGCUCUGAGUUAUGCACACAUCGCCCGUCGCUCUUGGAUUCAAGAUAAGUCGUAACAAAGUAGAUUUACUGGAAAGUAAAUCUU